UGGACAGAGCCGGUUGUCAAUCUCAUAGGCCACGGCGGGUUCGGCCCCUCCCUCCAGCCCCUCGCGGAACAGGUUGCUGCUGAGGGAAGAGGAGGUCUCUUCAAGUGCCAGGCAACAGUGGAUGUGAAGUGAGUUUAGGAAAGACCAUUUCAAGGACACGCAGAAGUCCAAAGAAUACCUUGUUUUUCUCCAGUUCUGGCUUUAAGAAUUGUGUUACAAAAGUAAGAGGGAAGCACCUGAAAUGGUCAGCCAUUUCAUUUUGGAGAAAUGUGAAAUCUAUCUGAAGCGUUUGCUGGGCAGAGGAAGUGCCAGCAGAGAAGGAGCACAGCGUAGAGACCAAUGGUUGUUUCCUGCAAAGAAGAGCAACACAGCAGCAGGACAUAAGGCAGUCUCUGCCGCAUGCUGAUCAGGCAGACCUUCAUUUUUGGCUCCAGCAUAAGAUGUAUGACUGGGAUCAGGAACCAUCUGAACAUUCAGAACAGAAGUCAUCUCCAUCAGGAACAAAUUAAUUGUGGAAGACACAUUCCUCACUUGCUGCUUACUCCUUGCAGGAAGCAUACCACUGCUGCAAGUUUUGAGUUCAUAGUAUGUUGCUUUCUGGAUACUGGAAAACUGUACAGGGCUCCAGUCUUGAUUUCCUUUGCCUACCCAAACUGGACCUGCCUUAGCAGAAUCAGAAUUGGAAUGAAGGCAGUGCCGCAAGCAGCCCUCUGACCAUACACAGCAUCUUCACAAGCCCCUCUGAUUCUUCACUGUGGAAUAAAGGCUUCCUAUGUUUUGUGGUCAUUAAACUGAAGUGGAGCACAGUUUCUAAUCAAUGGUGACAAAAAAGAGAAAAGGGAUGGAAGGGAUCACGAAAGUCAAUUACCACAAAAGCCUCCAUAGCAACAAAACUGGCUAGUUCUUUUCUUUUAAGCCUCCUUAUAAAUGCCAUAAGCACAAAGCAUCCAGGCCUCCCUACAGCUCAUCGGUGCCAAGUGGAUUAGGCUGGCAGAGACUGUGCUGGUUUAAUCCCCUUUAAUGCUUUGCACCUUCAGUCUGAUGAGCAGCCAGGUCCUUUCGCUCCAGUUCCACACUGAGCUCAUCAGCCAUAAUGGGUUAUCGUUAUCAUCAUCAAUAGGGAGCUGCCUUUCCCCGUGUUCCAGGCCUUCACCCCAUUUAAAAGAGGUUAAGAAAAACACAAGUUUUAAGUGAAGUUUUCCUAUUCCUACCAGCAAGUU